rnacentral:rRNA from 1 species
GUGGGGAAUUUUGGACAAUGGGCGCAAGCCUGAUCCAGCAAUGCCGCGUGCAGGAAGAAGGCCUUCGGGUUGUAAACUGCUUUUGUAUGGAACGAAACGGUCCGGGUUAAUACCCUGGGCUAAUGACGGUACCGUAAGAAUAAGCACCGGCUAACUACGUGCCAGCAGCCGCGGUAAUACGUAGGGUGCAAGCGUUAAUCGGAAUUACUGGGCGUAAAGCGUGCGCAGGCGGUUUUGUAAGACAGGCGUGAAAUCCCCGGGCUCAACCUGGGAAUUGCGCUUGUGACUGCAAGGCUGGAGUGCGGAAGAGGGGGAUGGAAUUCCGCGUGUAGCAGUGAAAUGCGUAGAUAUGCGGAGGAACACCGAUGGCGAAGGCAAUCCCCUGGGCCUGCACUGACGCUCAUGCACGAAAGCGUGGGGAGCAAACAGGAUUAGAAACCCGGGUAGUCC